GUUUAUAGCUUUUCGUAGAACAUUAUUACAGUAAAAAAUACCAUGGCAUCUAUUUUGCCAUAUCAAUUUGAGCCUGAAUCCGAAGAGGAAACCGAUGAAGACGUUCAACCGGCAACUCCACCAAACGUACGACUUGAGCAGGACGUUUCUCUGUGGUAAGUUUAAACUUUGUAUGUGGUAAACAACGUGAUAAUCUAGCAGUGCCGUUUCAUUGAAUUUGUUUAUUAUUGGUUACUUAUUAAGGUGCACGUGUGGGAACUGUAACAGAAUGCCCACUGAGUCUGAAAACCUGUGCUGUCAAGAAGUACGACAGGUUAUAAGAAGAAUCCAACAAAUUCCAGUGCCUCCAACAUGUAUGAUUGACCACCCAGGCUUUGAAGCCAACUGCCUUAAUCCAUAUACCCUCCAGAAUAUUCAUAAUAUAUAUAGAAGCGACUAUGGUCCAUUAAGGCGCCGAACAAGAGAGGAGCAAUUCCGUCAUUUGGCAUAUCGGAGCUUUGUUAGCUGGUGCUGGGGCUUCUUAGGUCGACAUGUCCGUGUGGUCAUUCCUUCCUGUGUUGUAUCCCGGAUACGCCAGGAGUUUCCAGAUCUGGCUGGUCACUACGUCG